GAUGAACGCUGGCGGCGUGCUUAAUACAUGCAAGUCGAACGGAGACAUUAGCAAUAAUGUUUUAGUGGCGAACGGGUGAGUAACGCGUUGGUGACCUGCCCCGAAGAGAGGGAUAACAGUCCGAAAGGAUUGCUAAUACCCCAUGUGGUCAUUUGGAUUAGAUGCCUUAUGACUAAACGGAUUUAUUCGCUUCGGGAGGGGCCUGCGUACCAUCAGCUUGUUGGUAGGGUAAUGGCCUACCAAGGCUAUGACGGUUAGGGGACCUGAGAGGGUGGCCCCCCACAAUGGAACUGAAACACGGUCCAUACACCUACGGGUGGCUG
rnacentral:rRNA from 1 species